rnacentral:rRNA from 1 species
UACGGAGGGUGCGAGCGUUGUCCGGAAUCAUUGGGCGUAAAGGGCGCGUAGGUGGCCCGGUCAGUCUUUGGUGAAAGCGCGGGGCUCAACCCUGCGUCGGCCAGGGAUACUGCCGCGGCUCGAGCACUGUAGAGGCAGGCGGAAUUCCGGGUGUAGCGGUGGAAUGCGUAGAGAUCCGGAAGAACACCGGUGGCGAAGGCGGCCUGCUGGGCAGUUCCUGACACUGAGGCACGAAGGCCGGGGGAGCAAACAGG